UACGUAGGUGGCAAGCGUUGUCCGGAUUUACUGGGCGUAAAGAGCGCGCAGGCGGUCGUUCAAGUCGCGUGUGAAAGCCCCCGGCUCAACUGGGGAGGGUCACGCGAUACUGAUCGACUCGAAGGCAGGAGAGGGAAGUGGAAUUCCCGGUGUAGUGGUGAAAUGCGUAGAUAUCGGGAGGAACACCUGCGGUGUAGACGGCUUACUGGACCAUAACUGACGCUGAGGCACGAAAGCGUGGGUAGCAAACAGG
rnacentral:rRNA from 1 species